UACGUAGGGUGCGAGCGUUAAUCGGAAUUACUGGGCGUAAAGCGUGCGCAGGCGGUUUUGUAAGCCAGAUGUGAAAUCCCCGGGCUUAACCUGGGAACGGCAUUUGGGACUGCAAGGCUGGAGUGCGGCAGAGGAGACUGGAAUUCCGGGUGUAGCAGUGAAAUGCGUAGAUAUCAGGAGGAAUACCGAUGGCGAAGGCAGGUCUCUGGGCUGACACUGACGCUCAUGCACGAAAGCGUGGGGAGCAAACAGG
rnacentral:rRNA from 1 species